rnacentral:lncRNA from 1 species
ACGCUAAUACCCGCAUACUGUGCGUAAGCACCGAUUGCAAUUAUAAGUUGCGCAUGUAGAUAUCGGUCUUCUCCCGACAUGCGCUCUGAUGACGGGUCCAUUUCCGCCAACUUAGGGUGAGAGUUAAGAGCCGGAGCCCUGUUGCCACCUGCAAAAUGCCUUAGCAGCAUGUGGCAACUAUCUGCCCGAAGCAAGUUGCAAGCCAGCCCAGUUCAGGUUGCCACAUGCCAUGCUGGGUAUUCCCAGCGCGCUAGCGCACCUGCUUGGGCAGCUCGCUAUGGCUGCCGUCGACAGUUGACCCUGGUAUGCCAUCGCUAGAGUCGCAGCCCGCUCCGGCCAACCUCGCUCCUCCGCAACCGACACACGAACCCGACGUCACUUGAUCCCACAAUUCCAGCGACUUUUGCGACCGGCUCUCCACCGACCGCUUGGAUGCUUGCGCCCGGUCGCUGCCCCAGCUACUUCCGCGGUGAAAUAACAACGGUGAGCACUCUCAACCACUGCGAGGACAGCCCUAGCAACCGCACUGCGUAAGAAGUACAGCAUCGAUUUGCUGCAUGUUGAUUUUGGCGCAAAUGGGGGGUGCAAGCAGUUUGUUUCUCUCAGACGCGAGCUAGCGCCCAAGCGCGCGAUAUGGGGGCGAGGAGCCACUAUGUAGCUGUAACGAUUGCAUGAGUGGCGAAUUUUACUUCGAGGGUCUAGGGUGCGAGCGGAGUGGGAUUACCCCCCGAGGGGCACGCCAUGCGCGCAGGCCCCAUGCAACAGAAAUUCGCCGGGCACCAACCCACGCACAGAUAAUUCAUAGGACUACACCAUAGCCAUCAGAGACCGGCCGGGAACAAGCCCCGCAAGCGGGGCAGCAUGGGCGCGACACCACCCUGCCGCGCCAACUCACCCCAAACACGCCCCAACCACUUGUGCGACACAAGGGCUACCAUACAGUAGCGCGCGACACCUAAUCGCGUGCGCCGGAGUGUGCGAGCAAACAUUGUACGGCUAAGCUCGUUUGGGCCCUAGGACGCAGGGCCUGGCCUGGCAUUUGGUGCAUUCAAUAGAGCAUAGAAAACCGAGGCCACAUAUGUGCUGGGGUGCGCAAAGGUCGGCGGAAUUGUGGGAUCAAGUGACGUGGAAAUGGAUCUGGGGGACUGCGGGGUUUUGGGGUGUGUUGGGUUGGUGGCGUGAAGGGUGUGAUUUGUGAGGAAUUUAUCGAUGCAUGCCAAGUUGCACGCCUUUCCCCUGUGUUUCCUACAUGCCCCUGAACCCUCCCUUUGCUGGCUGCAGGCGAAGCGACAAGUGGUACCGCUGGUACCACCCACGGGGGCCUUGUGCCCAGGCCGUGGUGGCGCAUGGUAACUAUACACGUGGCGGUCAUCGACAUUGCUUUGUGCCGGCGCGCAGCACCCAGGAUGUGCGGCAAUCGCUGAAAUGCAGUUGUGGGGUCCACACUCAUACGGCACCCACGCCCCACAAAGCACUGAUGCAGGGCUCCUGCAGCCGUCACGCCAUGGGAAUCAGCACAUGGGCAGUGGCCUGUGCAUACUUCUCUGUGGCCUGGCGGGGCAUCUGGCCAGGGCGUUUGACUAGCGGCAUGGGGCCUGCACGCCGGUACGGGGGCGCAGGCCCAAAAUGAUGCAAGGAAGCUGAUGUGUUGCGUGAGGUGCGCAGCGGUUCCUGAUGGACGUGGGUGCUGUCAUGCGUAUGUAUGUUGGCUAUGUGUGUUGUUCUUUGCGCCAGGGUGGUGUCGCCGCGCAGCGGAGCAUUGGCGUUGAUGCACGGGGCGUGAACAUUGGGGCCCGCAAUUGGGUUCGCGCCGGCACGGUCGCGGGCAUCGCUGAAGAUAUGUUGGCGCGACCGGUCGCUUAUGGUGCACGCUAAUACCCGCAUACUGUGCGUAAGCACCGAUUGCAAUUAUAAGUUGCGCAUGUAGAUAUCGGUCUUCUCCCGACAUGCGCUCUGAUGACGGGUCCAUUUCCGCCAACUUAGGGUGAGAGUUAAGAGCCGGAGCCCUGUUGCCACCUGCAAAAUGCCUUAGCAGCAUGUGGCAACUAUCUGCCCGAAGCAAGUUGCAAGCCAGCCCAGUUCAGGUUGCCACAUGCCAUGCUGGGUAUUCCCAGCGCGCUAGCGCACCUGCUUGGGCAGCUCGCUAUGGCUGCCGUCGACAGUUGACCCUGGUAUGCCAUCGCUAGAGUCGCAGCCCGCUCCGGCCAACCUCGCUCCUCCGCAACCGACACACGAACCCGACGUCACUUGAUCCCACAAUUCCAGCGACUUUUGCGACCGGCUCUCCACCGACCGCUUGGAUGCUUGCGCCCGGUCGCUGCCCCAGCUACUUCCGCGGUGAAAUAACAACGGUGAGCACUCUCAACCACUGCGAGGACAGCCCUAGCAACCGCACUGCGUAAGAAGUACAGCAUCGAUUUGCUGCAUGUUGAUUUUGGCGCAAAUGGGGGGUGCAAGCAGUUUGUUUCUCUCAGACGCGAGCUAGCGCCCAAGCGCGCGAUAUGGGGGCGAGGAGCCACUAUGUAGCUGUAACGAUUGCAUGAGUGGCGAAUUUUACUUCGAGGGUCUAGGGUGCGAGCGGAGUGGGAUUACCCCCCGAGGGGCACGCCAUGCGCGCAGGCCCCAUGCAACAGAAAUUCGCCGGGCACCAACCCACGCACAGAUAAUUCAUAGGACUACACCAUAGCCAUCAGAGACCGGCCGGGAACAAGCCCCGCAAGCGGGGCAGCAUGGGCGCGACACCACCCUGCCGCGCCAACUCACCCCAAACACGCCCCAACCACUUGUGCGACACAAGGGCUACCAUACAGUAGCGCGCGACACCUAAUCGCGUGCGCCGGAGUGUGCGAGCAAACAUUGUACGGCUAAGCUCGUUUGGGCCCUAGGACGCAGGGCCUGGCCUGGCAUUUGGUGCAUUCAAUAGAGCAUAGAAAACCGAGGCCACAUAUGUGCUGGGGUGCGCAAAGGUCGGCGGAAUUGUGGGAUCAAGUGACGUGGAAAUGGAUCUGGGGGACUGCGGGGUUUUGGGGUGUGUUGGGUUGGUGGCGUGAAGGGUGUGAUUUGUGAGGAAUUUAUCGAUGCAUGCCAAGUUGCANNNNNNNNNNNNNNNNNNNNNNNNNNNNNNNNNNNNNNNNNNNNNNNNNNNNNNNNNNNNNNNNNNNNNNNNNNNNNNNNNNNNNNNNNNNNNNNNNNNNGCAGAUGCCAUGCUGGGUAUUCCCAGCGCGCUAGCGCACCUGCUUGGGCAGCUCGCUAUGGCUGCCGUCGACAGUUGACCCUGGUAUGCCAUCGCUAGAGUCGCAGCCCGCUCCGGCCAACCUCGCUCCUCCGCAACCGACACACGAACCCGACGUCACUUGAUCCCACAAUUCCAGCGACUUUUGCGACCGGCUCUCCACCGACCGCUUGGAUGCUUGCGCCCGGUCGCUGCCCCAGCUACUUCCGCGGUGAAAUAACAACGGUGAGCACUCUCAACCACUGCGAGGACAGCCCUAGCAACCGCACUG